rnacentral:rRNA from 1 species
UACGAAGGGGGCUAGCGUUGCUCGGAAUCACUGGGCGUAAAAGGGCGCGUAGGCGGCCGAUUAAGUCGGGGGUGAAAGCCUGUGGCUCAACCACAGAAUUGCCUUCGAUACUGGUUGGCUUGAGACCGGAAGAGGACAGCGGAACUGCGAGUGUAGAGGUGAAAAUUCGUAGAUAUUCGCAAGAACACCAGUGGCGAAGGCGGCUGUCUGGUCCGGUUCUGACGCUGAGGCGCGAAAGCGUGGGGAGCAAACAGG